rnacentral:rRNA from 1 species
GAUGAACGCUAGCGGCAGGCCUAAUACAUGCAAGUCGAGGGAGAAUGUUGGAUUCGUCUGACAUGAAACCGGCGCACGGGUGCGUAACACGUAUGCAACCUACCUUUGACUGGGGUAUAGCUCAGAGAAAUCUGAAUUAAUCCCCCAUAAGACUACGACAUGGCAUCAUGAUGUAGUUAAAGCUCCGGCGGUUAAGGAUGGGCAUGCGGUACAUUAGCUAGUUGGUGAGGUAAUGGCUCACCAAGGCUACGAUGUAUAGGGGGUCUGAGAGGAUGAUCCCCCACACUGGUACUGAGACACGGACCAGACUCCUACGGGAGGCAGCAGUAGGGAAUAUUGGUCAAUGGACGCAAGUCUGAACCAGCCAUGCCGCGUGAAGGAUGAAGGCCCUAUGGGUCGUAAACUUCUUUUAUUAGGGAAGAAAGAACGGGAUGCGUCCUGUACUGACGGUACUUAAUGAAUAAGGAUCGGCUAACUUCGUGCCAGCCGCCGCGGUAA